GCUGAGGAGAGGUGUGUGUGAGGAAGUUGAAGCCCAGGAGUUGCUGGAGUAAAAAUGUUCUUGUUUUGAACAGUUCGCGCCAAGCUGCGCUGAGGAGAGGUGUGUCUGAGGAAGUUGAAGCCCAGGAGCUGCUGGAGUAAAAAUGUUCUUGUUUUGAACAGGAAUAAAAUUAUCCUGAUUCCAGUGAUUCUGACUUCCUGUUUUCAAUCGCUACAAGUGCAUCCCAGUUUUCAAUGUCUGGCAUACAACCAUUAAUUUUUUGCUUUUAAACUGGUUAUAUUGAUCUUGGGUCCAGACA